UACGGAGGGGGCUAGCGUUGUUCGGAAUUACUGGGCGUAAAGGGCGCGUAGGCGGACUGUUAAGUCGGGGGUGAAAUCCCGGAGCUCAACUCCGGAACUGCCUUCGAUACUGACAGUCUAGAGGCCGGGAGAGGUGAGUGGAAUUCCGAGUGUAGAGGUGAAAUUCGUAGAUAUUCGGAGGAACACCAGUGGCGAAGGCGGCUCACUGGCCCGUUGCUGACGCUGAGGUGCGAAAGCGUGGGGAGCAAACAGG
rnacentral:rRNA from 1 species